UACGAAGGGGGCUAGCGUUGCUCGGAAUCACUGGGCGUAAAGCGCACGUAGGCGGCUUUUAAGUCAGGGGUGAAAUCCCGGAGCUCAACUCCAGAACUGCCUUUGAUACUGAGAAGCUUGAGUCCGGGAGAGGUGAGUGGAACUGCGAGUGUAGAGGUGAAAUUCGUAGAUAUUCGCAAGAACACCAGUGGCGAAGGCGGCUCACUGGCCCGGUACUGACGCUGAGGUGCGAAAGCGUGGGGAGCAAACAGG
rnacentral:rRNA from 1 species